rnacentral:rRNA from 14 species
ACAACUGUCACUUCUUAUGGACCCGAACCCGGGUGAUCUAACCAUGGCCAGGAUGAAGCCUAGGUAAUACUAUGUGGAGGUCCGAACCGACUGAUGUUGAAAAAUCAGCGGAUGAGUUGUGGUUAGGGGUGAAAUACCAAUCGAAUUCGGAGCUAGCUGGUUCUCCCCGAAAUGUGUUUAGGCGCAGCGGUUAAUAUUAUAGCUUAGAGGUAAAGCACUGUUUCGGUGCGGGCUGGUAAUUCGGUACCAAAUCGAGGCAAACUCUGAAUACUAAGUGAACAGUUAACCAGUAAGACUGUGGGGGAUAAGCUUCAUAGUCAAGAGGGAAACAGCCCAGAUCACCAGUUAAGGCCCCUAAAUAAUUAUUAAGUGGUAAAGGAGGUGGGAAGACUCAGACAGCCAGGAGGUUUGCUUAGAAGCAGCAAUCCUUUAAAGAGUGCGUAAUAGCUCACUGGUCUAGUAAUCCUGCGCCGAAAAUGAACGGGACUUAAAUAAUUUGCCGAAGCUGUGAGAUAU